rnacentral:rRNA from 1 species
ACACUCCUACGGGAGGCAGCAGUGGGGAAUUUUGGACAAUGGGCGAAAGCCUGAUCCAGCCAUGCCGCGUGCAGGAUGAAGGCCUUCGGGUUGUAAACUGCUUUUGUACGGAACGAAACGGCCUUUUCUAAUAAAGAGGGCUAAUGACGGUACCGUAAGAAUAAGCACCGGCUAACUACGUGCCAGCAGCCGCGGUAAUACGUAGGGUGCAAGCGUUAAUCGGAAUUACUGGGCGUAAAGCGUGCGCAGGCGGUUAUGUAAGACAGUUGUGAAAUCCCCGGGCUCAACCUGGGAACUGCAUCUGUGACUGCAUAGCUAGAGUACGGUAGAGGGGGAUGGAAUUCCGCGUGUAGCAGUGAAAUGCGUAGAUAUGCGGAGGAACACCGAUGGCGAAGGCAAUCCCCUGGACCUGUACUGACGCUCAUGCACGAAAGCGUGGGGAGCAAACAGGAUUAGAAACCCGGGUAGUCCCAUGAU